CACGUGUGGGAGCUGUAUGUACGUAUGAAUAAGCAUCGGCUAACUCCGUGCCAGCAGCCGCGGUAAUACGGAGGAUGCGAGCGUUAUCCGGGAUUUAUUGGGUUUAAAGGGAGCGUAGACGGGAUGUUAAGUCAGUUGUGAAAGGCUGCGGCUCAACCGCAGCACUGCAGUUGAUACUGGUGUCCUUGAGUGCGGUUGAGGUGUAUGGAAUUCGUGGUGUAGCGGUGAAAUGCUUAGAUAUCACGAAGAACUCCGAUUGCGAAGGCAGUACACUAAGCCGUAACUGACGUUGAGGCUCGAAAGUGUGGGUAUCAAACAGGAUUAGAUACCCUGGUAGUCCACACGGUAAACGAUGAAUACUCGCUGUUGGCGAUAUACGGUCAGCGGCCAAGCGAAAGCAUUAAGUAUUCCACCUGGGGAGUACGCCGGCAACGGUGAAACUCAAAGGAAUUGACGGGGGCCCGCACAAGCGGAGGAACAUGUGGUCUAAUUCGAUGAUACGCGAGGAACCUUACCCGGGCUUAAAUUGCGCUGGACAGAUUGGGAGACCAAUCCUUCUUCGGACCAGUGUGAAGGUGCUGCAUGGUUGUCGUCAGCUCGUGCCGUGAGGUGUCGGCUUAAGUGCCAUAACGAGCGCAACCCUUGCCAUUAGUUACUAACAGGUGAUGCUGAGGACUCUAGUGGGACUGCCAUCGUAAGAUGUGAGGAAGGUGGGGAUGACGUCAAAUCAGCACGGCCCUUACGUCCGGGGCUACACACGUGUUACAAUGGGAGGUACAGAAGGCUGCUACCCGGCGACGGGAUGCCAAUCCCCAAAACCUCUCUCAGCUCGGAUUGGAGUCUGCAACCCGACUCCAUGAAGCUGGAUUCGCUAGUAAUCGCGCAUCAGCCACGGCGCGGUGAAUACGUUCCCGGGCCUUGUACACACCGCCCGUCAAGCCAUGAAAGCCGGGGGUACCUGAAGUGCGUGACCGCAAGGAGCGCCCUAG
rnacentral:rRNA from 1 species